rnacentral:tRNA from 1 species
GUGUUCUUUGGCCGAGUGGAUAACGUGAUGACGUUUGAAGCGAAAGGUACUGGGUUCGAGUCCCAGAGUGGAC